CGAGGUGGGCGGGACGGGUGAGUAAUGUCUAGGGAAACUGCCCGAUGGAGGGGGAUAACUACUGGAAACGGUAGCUAAUACCGCAUAACGUCGCAAGACCAAAGAGGGGGACCUUCGGGCCUCUUGCCAUCGGAUGUGCCCAGAUGGGAUUAGCUAGUAGGUGGGGUAAAGGCUCACCUAGGCGACGAUCCCUAGCUGGUCUGAGAGGAUGACCAGCCACACUGGAACUGAGACACGGUCCAG
rnacentral:rRNA from 1 species